UAAGACGAAGGUGGCAAGCGUUGUUCGGAAUCACUGGGCUUAAAGAGCACGUAGGCGGAUCAUCAAGCGUCUUGUGAAAGCCCUCGGCUUAACCGAGGAAUUGCUUGGCGAACUGAUGGUCUUGAGGCAGGUAGGGGCGAGUGGAACUCUUGGUGGAGCGGUGAAAUGCGUAGAUAUCAAGAGGAACGCCAGUGGCGAAGGCAGCUCGCUGGGCCUGUCGAGGCUCUCUAGGCGCGAUUUAUCGCGUUUGGAGGUCCUCAUUCUGACGCUGAGGUGCGAAAGCCAGGGUAGCGAACGGGAUUAGAUACCCCGGUAGUCCUGGCCCUAAACGAUGUCCACUAGGUCGGAGGUUCUCUGACGGAGUUCCGGCCGAAAUGAAAACGGUAAGUGGGCCGCCUGGGGAGUACGGUCGCAAGGCUA
rnacentral:rRNA from 1 species